rnacentral:rRNA from 1 species
GGAAGUAAAAGUCGUAACAAGGUCUCCCUUGGAGCGCCAGCGGAGGGAUCAUUACAGAGUUAUCAACUCCCCACCCAUGUGAACUUAUCUCUUGUUGCCUCGGCGCAAGCGACCCGGGCCCAGCCCGGGGCGCCCGCCGGCGGACACACUCAACUCUAUCUUCGUUGAUAUCUGAGUGUCUUAUUUAAUAAGUCAAAACUUUCAACAACGGAUCUCUUGGUUCUGGCAUCGAUGAAGAACGCAGCGAAAUGCGAUAAGUAAUGUGAAUUGCAGAAUUCAGUGAAUCAUCGAAUCUUUGAACGCACAUUGCGCCCUAGUAUUCUAGUGGGCAUGCCUGUUCGAGCGUCAUUUCAACCUCUAAGCACAGCUUACUGUUGGGAAUCUACGUCUGUAGUUCCUCAAAGACAUUGGCGGAGCGGUAGUCCUCUGAGCGUAGUAAUUUUUUAUCUCGCUUCUGUAGGCGCUGUCGUCCCGGCCGUUAAACCCCUUUUUCUGGUUGACCUCGGAUCAGGUAGGGAUACCCGCUGAACUUAAGCAUAUCAAUAAGCGGAGGA